GGUGGUGGUAUGGGAGGUGGUUCUAGGGCCGAUGAGGUUGAUAAUUGGGGCAGUGCUAAGAAACCGCUUCCUACUAGAUCUACAUUUGGUUCAGGGUUUCGUGAUUCCGGGCCUGAGUCUGAUCGGUGGAGAAGAGGAGGGGUUCGUGAACCUGAGCGGGAGAGGCCUAGAUUGAUUUUAGAACCGCCGAAGGCUGAUGUAGCUGCUAAUGAGACGCCUAAAACAAGUAGGCCAAAUCCGUUUGGGGCAGCGAGGCCGAGAGAACAGGUGUUGGC
rnacentral:misc_RNA from 1 species